AUGAGCGCUGCCGGACGCCGAGGUAGGUCCUCGCCGGCAGCUGUGGUAGAGGGAGCUUCAGGAAAUCUUCAAAUCGGAUGGGGGCGGGCGAGCGGCGGCGGCGGCUCGAGGAUGCGCCUUCGGAUGAGGACCUGUGGGCGUCCGACCACUGGAAGGAGAGGGGUCGGCGGGGAAGGGCGGGGACGCGCCGGCGGCGGGGGCCGGCAUCGACGUAAAGAGAGAGGCACCAUCAUUGUACUGUUGCAUGUAGGGGGACGAUGGAGCGCCAUAGGAUGCAUAAGGACUGGUGUUGUAGAUCGGUGGCGCGUAGGAGGGAGCAGCGUGGUACGCGGCCGUCGGUUGUCGGGGCGCGAGGACGAGCGUGCCGGUGUGAGGGCGAGCACUGGGCUGCCAGCCACCGGAGAUGGGCGCCAUCCGGGCGGCGGUGGUGGUGCAGUUGAUGAAGCCGGGGGCGGUGGUGGUGCAGUUGAUGGAGCCGGGGGCGGAGCAGGAGCGGGCGCCGUGCGGAACAGCGGCGACCUAGGGUUUUUGCCCCGAUCACAGCGCGAGACUGGGAGACGGAGGAAAAUGCUGCCUGCGAGAUUGGGCCGGCCCACAAAAAAUAUCAUUCUCCUCUUCCCCACCAACCCUAAAUCCUUCUCGUCUCCCCCGAUUCUCCUGCCGCCACCGACGACCUCUGCCGUCCUUGCGUCACACCCCGAGCCCCUCCUCGCCUCUUCCCAUCCGCUCCUCUGCCCUGUGCCGCCGGCUUCCCUCUUGGCCACUCGACCCGGCCAACAUGGCGGGCAGCAAGAUCUGGGCCGACGCGCCUCAUCGUCGCCUUCGUCUUCCAUUGUGCGCCUCAACACCGGCUACAGGGACAAGGACCUCACCGACUCGCGCACAAUAGGUGGGCGGCCGGCAGUGGAGGUGCAGCAGCGGCCAACGGCGAGCAGAGCGACGCCGACCCGCCGGCCGCUUGACGAGCUGACCGGUAGCUUCAGGUCGACAGAGGCCAUGGUGCGGGAGUGGAUGUCAAAGCAUCCCACCCACAUCGAGGCCGCCGUCACCAUGGCGUUUUGGCUGUGCACGGCGGCGCUCAGUGGGCUAAUCAGCACGUUUGCGCCGGAAGGAGGGGCUGGCCUCCCGGUGCUGCAGCCGCCUCCCGGUCUCGACCCCAAAGCCAGGGCCACCUUCAAGCAAGCAACUUAUAUAUUGCGUUUGUCCCCUUCGUCGCCGGCAAGGUCCGGCAGCUCGCUCAUGGGUGGCUCUGCCUCACAGACGGUCCUCCCGUGCCUGAUGGCCAUGAGGUGCAUGUUGUGCGUCGGGCCGUACCUCGUCUGCAUCGGUAAACCACAACAGUGGUACUACCUCAAAAGAAUCCUGCUGGGAGAUCAAAGGAAUAGGCACUUCUGCUCCUUUUUAUCUGCUGAUGCAAUCUUGAAUGUAAUGGUCAAGGUAGUUAGUGUCCUUUUCGAAAAAAAAAGUGACUGCUUGCACCGAUCCGACGGCGGCCAUGGCGGAGCUCCGCCCGGGCAACAUGGGGUGUCCGUCCGAGGUCAUGAUGGUCGAUGUGUACUCUACGCUGUAGCGCACCAGCGCGGGAGCUCUUGGAGCGUGCCAUCGGCGAGAUGCACGUUGAUGCAUACGAUAAGCAUGCCAAAAGUGUUGAAACCCAGAUCAGCAAGAAAGGCAGCAGUGGAUAGAAGGAUGCCGCCACCAAGAGGAGCGAGGUUGCGUCGAUGGACUCAGAUCAUCUACGAGAAGGGCUCAGUUCAGGAACUAUGGUUAUGCUUCACCAAGGAUUUGAAGGAGACACCAAAUGUAGAGUCGCCAUAUCUAACUUUUACUUUGACAUGGCUGGGUGUUCGUCUUCUACAUAUCUGGUUUAUGCUCUAUUGUCUACUUACCAACAAGAAGAUAAGUUGA
rnacentral:rRNA from 1 species